rnacentral:rRNA from 1 species
AGUGGAGCCGUAGGGAAACCGAGUCUGACAAGGGCGAUGAGUAGUGCGGAUUAGACCCGAAACCGGGUGAUCUAUCCAUGAGCAGGUUGAAGCAAGGGUAAAACCUUGUGGAGGACCGAACCAAUACCGGCUGAAAACGGUUUGGAUGACUUGUGGAUAGGGGUGAAAGGCCAAUCAAACCCGGUGAUAGCUGGUUCUCCCCGAAAUAUAUUGAGGUAUAGCCUCAUGGAUUGUCUACCGGAGGUAAAGCACUGACAGGGCUAGGGGUCCUACCAGAUUACCAAACCCUAUCAAACUCAGAAUGCCGGUCAGAUGUACCAUGGGAGUCAGACGGCGGGUGCUAAGGUCCGUCGUCGAGAGGGUAAGAGCCCAGAUCAACAGCUAAGGUCUCCAAAUCUAUGCUCAGUGGUUAAGGUGGUGACGUUGUAGAGACACCCAGGACGUUGGCUUAGAAGCAGCCAUCGUUUAAAGAAAGCGUAAUAGCUCACUGGUCUAAUGACGUUGCGCCGAAAAUGUAACGGGGCUAAGCAUAGUACCGAAGCUUUGAAUUCCGC